GAAGAACCUUACCCACCUUUGACAUGUACGGAAGUCGCUAGAGAUAGCUUCGUGCUCGAAAGAGAGCCGUAACACAGGUGCUGCAUGGCUGUCGUCAGCUCGUGUCGUGAGAUGUUGGGUUAAGUCCCGCAACGAGCGCAACCCUUGUCAUUAGUUGCUACAUUCAGUUGGGCACUCUAAUGAGACUGCCGGUGACAAACCGGAGGAAGGUGGGGAUGACGUCAAGUCCUCAUGGCCCUUAUAGGUGGGGCUACACACGUCAUACAAUGGCUGGUACAAAGGGUUGCCAACCCGCGAGGGGGAGCUAAUCCCAUAAAACCAGUCGUAGUCCGGAUCGCAGUCUGCAACUCGACUGCGUGAAGU
rnacentral:rRNA from 1 species